GUUUUCUCAACAUUGCCAUUAGAACAUACAUAUCUCUGAAACUUACAAUCUCAUUAUUUCAAAUGAGUAUCCACUUAAGUUAAAGCUAUCAAUUUGUAGAUGUUUGUUAUUGCACAGAUCAUGAGCUUGUCAUCAUAUAAUUAAUAUAUAAGAGAACCCUAUUGCUGAUUUUUGUAGCAAAUGAUUUUUACACUUUUAUCAAUGUGUUUCAUCAUGUAAUAGGAUUUUGGGUACUUGAUUGAUCUGAUCAAAGUUGGAUUGGCAUUCUUUUUUCCAUCUUCUUCACUAAUAUGCUACACUUCCUAGUUAUUUGGGAAAAUAUCAAAUAAAGUUUUUCCUUUUCAUAAAAUGUCCAUGUGGCACCUGUAGGGGUAACAAAUCAUAGCCUACUUGAUGAGAAGCCAACGGAAAUGAUGACCGACCACCAUGUGUUCGUAAUCAACAAAAAAAACCAUUGUUAGUGCCUAACCGUUGGUCGGCCGGGAGCACUUCGAUGCUCAAGUCAAUCCACGAUCCUCAAGAAGGGAUCAAUGGAUAUUCCUAGAGUAAAGAGUGUAUAAUGAAUGAUGGCUUGCCUUAACCUAUGGAGGUAGGUGUAUGUAUUCUAGAACUUUUCUUAGUAAUCAAGUAUGUCUAGAUGCUUCUUAGAAUAUUCUUUGGAAUAUCCCUUCUAAAAGUAAAUAAAUUAUUCUCCUUUAGUCAUACUUGUGAUUUAGUUUCAUGCCACGCGACACAUGCUAGCCAGACCUAACCAAUAAGAUCAUACCAUGUAGGGCAAGGUGGGCUCUAUGUUCAUUUGAGCCAAUUUUUACCCUCUUCCUUUGCCUCUCAUCUUCCAUUCUCUUUGAGCUAAGGAGUGGAAGCUUUUUGUUGUUGCUCUGAUAGAUGACAUAUAUUGCCGCUUUGCUUGGAAUGACAUAUGGGUGCUGAGCAUUGCCGCCUAGGUACUUUUAGGAUGCAUUUGUUUUUCCCACUUUAAGGGAAAUAUGUAUGCAGUCUUAGCCCAUUAUAAGACCAGACAAAUUGUUUCAUGCUGCUUGCUAGUGUGAAAACAAAUCACAGUCCAAAUUUGAUCUUGCUUAUUGUGCUUAAAUUCAGUUUGUUUGUUGGGUUUUUUGUUCUUAAGGCCCGUCUCACACUAGCCCUUCUCUGAAGUCAUUGUCCAACAAAGUAGGAGGUAUGCUCUGCUGUCAUAAUUCGCUAAACAAGUAUAAGAGGUUAGACACUAAGCUUGAAAAGAAAAUGAUGGAAGUUAAGAGAAGUCCAUCUGGAAAUAAAAAUUUCAGAUCAAUCAAUGGCAUAAUCAUGAGGUUCCCUCAGAUCAAAGAGGGAUUGAAAGACAUCCGAGGUGUCUUUGAACAGUGCGAUGAAGAUUCUAAUGGAACUAUUGUUGACCUUGAGGAACUCAAGAAAUGCUUACAGAAAUUGCAACUCCAUCUUACAGAGAAGGAAAUUGAUCAUCUUUUUCACUCGUGCGACGUAGAUGGGAGUGAAGGGAUACAAUUCAAAGAGUUUAUUGUUCUUUUGUGUCUGAUUUAUCUCCUAAUGGAUCACUCGAACUCUCCUCACACUCUAAACACAAUUAACCCAUAACAAUUUUUUUUUCAAUUGCAAAGUUCACUUGUUUAGGUCAACAUUUACUGCCAAUUCAUUUUUCUUAUCCUGGGGAUGUUUUUUAAGACAUCGAAGAUGGGAUCGCCACAGCUUGAAGCCACGUUUGAUUCUAUAAUCGAAGCAUUCUUGUUUCUUGACAAAAAUGGUGAUGGAAAGCUGAACAAGAAAGACAUGGUCAAAGCACUAAAUGGGGAUUCUCCUCUGGAGAUUUCCCCAGCACACAUUACAAGGACUCGAUUUGAAGAAAUGGACUGGGAAAGAAAGGGAAGGUUAGCUUCAGAGAGUUCCUCUUUGCUUUGAUCAAUUGGGUUGGAAUCGAUGCUGAUGAUGAGAUUCUUGUGGCAGAAAGUUAAAUGGAGUCAAAUUAACUAUAAAUUGUCUAAAGUACAUUACUUAAACAUGCUGUUGUGCAGAUACUGUAACAUUCAUACUCUAUAUUACUGUAGAAUUCAAAACAAUUUCUGUGACUUAUAGUUUUAAUUUACUAAUGGUAGGUUCUUCUUAUUCCUAAAUAUGUUGUUCCUGCUGUGUCUAUU